rnacentral:rRNA from 1 species
UGGGGAAUAUUGCACAAUGGGCGAAAGCCUGAUGCAGCAACGCCGCGUGAGUGAUGAAGGCCUUCGGGUUGUAAAGCUCUGUCUUUUGGGACGAUAAUGACGGUACCAAAGGAGGAAGCCACGGCUAACUACGUGCCAGCAGCCGCGGUAAUACGUAGGUGGCAAGCGUUGUCCGGAUUUUACUGGGCGUAAAGGAUGCGUAGGCGGAUUUUUAAGUGAGAUGUGAAAACCCUAAGCUUAACUUGGGGACUGCAUUUCAUACUGGAAAUCUAGAGUGCGGGAGAGGAGAAUGGAAUUCCUAGUGUAGCGGUGAAAUGCGUAGAGAUUAGGAAGAACACCAGUGGCGAAGGCGAUUCUCUGGACCGUAACUGACGCUGAGGCAUGAAAGCGUGGGUAGCAAACAGGAUUAGAUACCCUGGUAGUCCACGCCGUAAACGAUGAGUACUAGGUGUAGGAGGUAUCGACCCCCUUCUGUGCCGCAGUUAACACAAUAAGUACUCCGCCUGGGAAGUACGAUCGCAAG